rnacentral:rRNA from 1 species
GUGCCAGCCGCCGCGGUAAUACAGAGGGUGCGAGCGUUAAUCGGAAUUACUGGGCGUAAAGCGCACGCAGGCGGUUGGAUAAGUUAGAUGUGAAAGCCCCGGGCUCAACCUGGGAAUUGCAUUUAAAACUGUCCAGCUAGAGUCUUGUAGAGGGGGGUAGAAUUCCAGGUGUAGCGGUGAAAUGCGUAGAGAUCUGGAGGAAUACCGAUGGCGAAGGCAGCCACCUGGGUCAACACUGACGCUCAUGUACGAAAGCGUGGGGAGCAAAC